CAGCUCGCGCUUCGGUUGCUCAAACAGCUUAAACCCCUUUAAUAGCUGUUUUAAUCUGCUUUUGAGAUCAAACUAAACUCAAAACUUUAAUAUUUUAGGUUUGGGGUUUGUUUAAAUCACUAACCCGGGCUAUUUUGAGCCACACUCUCUGGAGUUUAUAAUGAUCCACGCAAGCUAAAUGUCCUACAGCUUUUGCUGUGCUUUUCAUAAAUGUCUUAAUUGAUGUUUGUGUUUGUUUGGCCUUCACUUUAUGAGCUCUGUCUCAGGUUCAUCUCUCACCUCUCCAGAGCAUUCAAGCACGACAGCCGUAAUGAACUUAAUAACCGUGAAAUGAAGUUUUGUGAUCUGCGGAGAGGAGGGAAGUUUCUAUCCAGUCUGUGCCAGAUAUUGACAGUGUAAAUGCAGCCUUUUAUGUUUCGUGCUGUAAGGACAUUUCAUCCCAGAUCUCGAGCCCUCGGGUCCACAGAUGAACCGUAGGCUGUGAUCUGUGGUCCUGGCAGUGCCCGCGUUUGGCGGGGCUUCAGAUCGCCCUCUUGUCUGCCAUCUGAUUCUACACCUGCCAAACUCCACGGCUCCCAUCUGCCCUUUACAACAUGACCUCAUCGGCACGGCACGUCACUCACGUGUUUCAGGAGGAAAGCGUUGUUCUAGAGAGACUGCCAAGUCCUGGAUUCUCGGCUUCAAACAAGGUGUUGCAAGGUGGGACACCAACUAAUCCAACAACACCUGAUCUAUUAAACGCUUUAAAGGUCAUUUCUGCAUCAUGAAAUGAUAAUAUAAUGACUAUUUCCAAACAGGUUUUCCAAACUGGAAUCAGAAAGAAUAGUUUGCUCAUACUAGUUCUUAUGAGAGAAAAUCAUGGGAUAAUUUUAAUUUUUUGGGUGAACUGUCCCUUUAAUUCCAUUGUGUCUUGUGGUUUAAUUUCAUCCUGUUUUUGUUUGCCUUGUAAAUUUUGUUGCAUCUGACACCUAUUGGCACCCAUAUAACCGUAUUAACGGCAGAAUAACCUGCAAAUUGACAAAAAUCUGGCUAUGCAACACUAGGAUCCAGUAAAAGUUUCAUUCCGGGCCUCGUGAAUGAAUGUGUUGGCACACAAGUAAAUGAGUUCAGGCAGCUCAGAUGAGUCAUUACCGCAUUCAGUUAACUCAGCAAUUUGCUUGUAAUGUGCGUUUGAAUGGCAGCAGACCGGAUGCUCUGAUGUCAUCAUCACGAUGACGCAUCCUGUUUCAUUCCUGAAAGUUUUUUUUUUUUUUUUCACUCAUUAGCAUGCACUUAUCGUCACUUCUGCCAUUUGUCUCGUUGCACUGAUGACAGAUACGAACCAUAGUGUGAAUUAUA